rnacentral:rRNA from 1 species
GACGAACGCUGGCGGCGUGCUUAACACAUGCAAGUCGAACGAUGAAGCUGGAGCUUGCUCUGGUGGAAGAGUGGCGAACGGGUGAGUAACACGUGAGUAACCUGCCCAUCACUCUGGGAUAAGCGCUGGAAACGGUGUCUAAUCCUGGAUAUGAACAGCGGCCGCGUGGUCAGUUGUUGGAAAGCUUUAUAGGUGGUGGAUGGACUCGCGGCCUAUCAGCUUGGUGGUUAGGUAAUGGCUGAGCAAGGAGGCGUCGGGUAGCCGGCUCGAGUGGGUGAACGGCCACACUGGGAAUGAGACACAGCCCAGACUACUACGGGAGGCAGCAGUGGUGAAUAUUGCACAAUGGGCGCAAGCCUGAUGCAGCAGCGCCGCGUGAGGGAUGACGGCCUUCGGGUUGUAAACCUCUUUUAGUAGGGAAGAAGCGGAAGUGACGGUACCUGCAGAAAAAGCACCGGCUAACUACGUGCCAGCCGCCGCCGUAAGAC